CUAGCAAAACCUCUGAACUGCUCACUGAGAACAUUUGUUCCCUUUUGAGGAAGAUGCAAAUCAUCUUUUUUGUACAGUUUAUUUCCAUUCCAAACAGAGCUAAUCUUGAGAAAUAAAGCCAAGUCCUUGCUCCCGACACCAUUCACCAAGCCACAAAUUAAACUCCCUAAUACGCAUCCGCCAGUCGUUCUGAGUGUUAUGCACAAGCAGAACUUCAGAAAAUGACAGUGUGGAAGCAACCUGCCGUAUAUCAUUGGCAAAAACACUAAAAACUUCCUUAACCUUUGAAACCUCAUUGCAAGCUAAGUCAUUUGUCCCUAGAUGGACAAGUACAUC
rnacentral:lncRNA from 1 species